UUUUUUAUUGAUUACAAAUCGAAGGAAAUAUGACUUUGUUUUUUUUUCACUUGCAUAUCGAAAAUUAUUCAAACAAUAGAAAUCAUGGUGAAGUUUUGGAAUAAUCUGAGUUUGGUAUUAUGUUUGAUGUUUUAUGAGGUGGUGCAAUGUAAGUAAUUCAUUUUUAAAAAUUCAAUCGAUUGAAAAAAAUCUAUAUUAAAGUUAAACAGUGAGUAUCUUUCAAAAAUAUUUUAUAUUUAGACAUUCACUUCAAUGUGGAACAUCAUCAUCAAAUAUCUCUAAUUUUAUUAAAUAUAUGAAUUAAUUGUGUAAGUUUAGACACAUUCAUAUUUAAAUGUCCUUUAGUAAUAUUCUAUUGUGUGUAUAUAUAUAUAAACUUCCAGUUGUUAAGUUGUACGGCAAACUCAUACUGUAUUAAGCUAUUCAAUAGUUUCUGCCCCCUAGAAAUUUUUGAAAACAGGCAUGAAAUGGUGGCCUCUGGUGCAUUUUUAGGUCUAAAUUUGAGGAAAUGAAGAGGUAACUCCCAUUUUGAUAGGGGGCUAAGGGUCUCUCUCCCUGAAAAUUUUUGAAAUACAAGUAAGAAAUGGUGGCAUCUGUUAAAAGUAGGCAUGCAGAAUGUGGUUUGUAAAUCGUUGGCUGUCUUAAAAUAUUAUUUUCAAUACAGCACAACAGCCAUUUGGUUACGUUGAAUGUUACGAAAAGAGCACAUUUGGAAAAAACAUCACGACAAAGAUGACGCGAGAAAACCAUGGCACGUACUGUAUUAACGUUUGUAAGACGUUAAUGUACAGAUAUGCUGGUACACAGGGUAUACAUUGUAAAUGUGGCCAUACUAUCCGAAGUCAUUCCAAACGAACAGAUUGUACAUUUGUAUGCGCAGGACUGAGGAAUGAAUUCUGUGGGGGCUUAAAAAGCAUGUCAGUAUAUGAUAUAAGUAU
rnacentral:lncRNA from 1 species